GGAACGCCGGCCGUGGGGACGGCGAGGGGCUGGGGGUACGGGGAGAGGGUCCAGCCAGGGGCGGCUGCGCCUCGGAGGACUCGCUUUGCGCCACCUCGCCUCUUUGGUGGGACACAAAAGGAGAAGAGGUGGUCAGUGGGUCCGAGACCCGCUGGGCGUCAGCGGCCGGGACGGCGGGGCUCUCGGUCGGCUCCAGGGCCCGGGCGGUGUGGAGACACCAGCGUCUUCUUCCUCCGCGCUCCCGGCACAAAAUGGCCGCCGCCGCCCCGGCCCGCUCCGCUUACGCUACGGGCGGCGCUGCGCAAACCGCGGCGCUCCGAGACGCCUACGCCUAUUCACGGAAGCCAGCUACGCACGAAGCGCGCGCGGCGAAACACCGCCCCGCGCAGCAGCAGGCGGGCUACGGACGGUGCGUGGAGUUCUUUACUUAGAGCCCGUGCUCCGCGUGAGGAAGGCGGGCGGGAGAAGGAGAGAAACGCUAUUCCCCAAAGUCUACUGCGCAAGGAGCGCGCUCCGUAACGCCUUCGGCUCGGCGGGCAAAACCUGGGCCGGGGCGCACGUUACGUAAGCGGACGGCGUACGCAAGGUUGAAUUACAUCAAAUGACAGAGGAAAAAGUCACUUCCUUGUGGGCCACUACACACUGUGCUCUUCAGGAUUUCUGUGCCAGUCAUGUUUUACAUAUAUGAAGCUAUCAGGAGACUCCUGCUUCCAUAUAAUAAAAUAAACUGUCUUUCAAGUUCAUCAUACCUGUAGCUUUAAGAGUCAAAAAGAUACAAAGUGUUUUCAGUAUCAAUGAAGAUAAUCUUUCCACCUGUGUAACCAUUUGAUCCUGGGAGUUGAGCUGUCACUGCAGAGAGUCAUAGAAGAUCAACAUGAAAAAGUGGGGAAAACAUUUUCUUGCUCCUUCUAUUAUUAUUUUUUAAAAUAAAAUACAACUGCUUAUUCAUAUCACAAAGAACCACCAGUUUUAAUCAAUGUGGAAAUCAGGAGUAUCUCAAGUUUUACUGCCAUCUUGAGUAUAAACUCAAGCCCCUUUUCUCGACUGGAGAUCAGAUGAGAUUUAAUAAAUGCUAUCAAAACUGUGUUUUACUGAGUACCCUAACUAAAUCUGUAUCUUUUAAGGAUAUUAUUAAUAAGUUCCUAUACACAAGGCAUUGUCUUUAUCCUCUGCCCCAAAUUGAUUGUAUUGUUUUAGUAGGGUUUUUUCCAGCUGUAACUCGUCUGAACAAAAAUUCUUUGGAUAUGAAUUUUUCCUGAUACAUGAAUAGUUACUGAUUGUGGGUUUAGUCUCUUUGGAGUGAAUAAGCUAAAAUAUUGAAUCCAGUUGUAAUCAUUCAUGCAAAAGGGUAUGACUCUGCUGGCCAUUAGACUGUACUAACUAGAAGAGGCCUUAUUUUUCCAGAACAUGCCAUAUUUCACUAUACAAUGUAGGGCUCAUUUAAGGGAAUUUGCCUACACAGUGUCUGGAAAUUUCAGCAGCAUUAAUAGUUGUAUUAGUUAUUUUUUACUACUAUUUACACAUCGAGAGAUGUCUCUGGGAACUCAGAGUCCUGCUGUAUUUGGCACUGCCCAAAUACUGCAACUGCCAAAGUAUUUGUUUAUCCAGUUACUGACAGUCAGUAGUAUCCCCUCAGUGCCCUUCCAGAAUGUCAUAUUCAGCAAAACCUCUGGAAACCAGGAAAGUAAAAGAAAUACUGAGACAGAAUCUUUGCCUUUGCCCUUUUCUGAGCAAUGCCCCCCAUCUACAUGUGACCCAUAUUUGUGCUCUGCUUUUCCAGAUGGUGUGUUAUACUGGUUUAUCUAAGGCAGUCUAUUAUCAUCUCUCUCCUUAUGGCAAAAUUUACAUGGAUGCGAGCAGUAUUAAAAAGUAAUCAUUUAUGAGUUCUCUACUCAAACACAGCUAAUGGAGGGUGCCACUCACGCAUCUUCCUAAACAAGGCACACGGCGUUUUUGGAUUGGAUGCCCAAAACCCGUCAGAGAGCUGGAAGAGAAGUGACUUGCCUGAAGUCACAGGACAAGAAAAUGAGGCUGAGUCACACACAUGACUUAAUCUGCCAUUUUAAAAGGAUGGAAAAGGUGCUUUUUAGUAUAUGAACACUCUGAGACAUCUGCAGUCUUCUUGGAGGCAGUAUGUGGAAAGCAAUUACCCGUUUUAGCUUGCCUCUGGUAGCACAGUCAGUACGGGACUGCAUGUCAAGGAGACAUCCGCGGAUUCCUCUGAGCAGGAGGAGUUCCUGGCCACCCCUUGUGUGGGUUUGAAAUGGCAGAAGGGAUGGGAGCAACAUUCUCAGCCUGUUUCAAGGUGUUUGUGAAAACUUACCCACCCUUCGUCUGUGGGAGGCUAAGGGCACUUUUUCCAAGCUGUUUCUUAGCCAAGUCAGGAAACCAAGCAACAAACCCCACAGCCCUCAGCCAUCAUCAGCACACCACAGGAGUGCUCGCAGGGUCCCCAUUUGAGACAUCGAGCGAUUUACAUGAAUACCAAAAGUCUAAUCCUGGGAGCCCUGAGGCUUUGUCUAUAUUGAGGAACCGGCUGGCACUGCUUUUGAAAACUGCAUUAUUCCACAAGAGCUAUUCCAGAAGAGCACUUAGGCAGACAGCCCUUUAAAGGCGAAUUCCUUCACAAAGUAUGCUUUUAUUCCAUAACAGAAUGCACAUGCAGAGAGUGACCCUUCUGGUCUUACAGAGCACCUCUGCUGCAGCUAAUGUCUCUGUAAACAACCUUCCCUUCAUUAUUUUUUUAGUUUGGAAAAUAGUUCCCAGGAAGGUCAAUGAACGCACAGAAUCCGAAUGUUAUUUCCCACUCCAAAGUGCUACUUUGGGCAAUAAAUUCCAUUCUACAGCUUCAAAAUGUUGUGUGAUCAUUAAUUGUUCAUUUGGCUUCCAGCUGGUGUUGUGCAAUACCCCAUCCUACUACA